AUUGAACGCUGGCGGCAGGCCUAACACAUGCAAGUCGAGCGGUAGAGAGAAGCUUGCUUCUCUUGAGAGCGGCGGACGGGUGAGUAAUGCCUAGGAAUCUGCCUAGUGGUGGGGGAUAACGUUCGGAAACGGACGCUAAUACCGCAUACGUCCUACGGGAGAAAGCGGGGGAUCUUCGGACCUCGCGCCAUUAGAUGAGCCUAGGUCGGAUUAGCUAGUUGGUGAGGUAAUGGCUCACCAAGGCGACGAUCCGUAACUGGUCUGAGAGGAUGAUCAGUCACACUGGAACUGAGACACGGUCCAGACUCCUACGGGAGGCAGCAGUGGGGAAUAUUGGACAAUGGGCGAAAGCCUGAUCCAGCCAUGCCGCGUGUGUGAAGAAGGUCUUCGGAUUGUAAAGCACUUUAAGUUGGGAGGAAGGGCAGUAA
rnacentral:rRNA from 1 species